rnacentral:rRNA from 2 species
GGGCGUUAAGUUGCAGGGUAUAGACCCGAAACCCGGUGAUCUAGCCAUGGGCAGGUUGAAGGUUGGGUAACACUAACUGGAGGACCGAACCGACUAAUGUUGAAAAAUUAGCGGAUGACCUGUGGCUGGGGGUGAAAGGCCAAUCAAACCGGGAGAUAGCUGGUUCUCCCCGAAAGCUAUUUAGGUAGCGCCUCGUGAAUUCAUCUCCGGGGGUAGAGCACUGUUUCGGCUAGGGGGCCAUCCCGGCUUACCAACCCGAUGCAAACUGCGAAUACCGGAGAAUGUUAUCACGGGAGACACACGGCGGGUGCUAACGUCCGUCGUGAAGAGGGAAACAACCCAGACCGCCAGCUAAGGUCCCAAAGUCAUGGUUAAGUGGGAAACGAUGUGGGAAGGCCCAGACAGCCAGGAUGUUGGCUUAGAAGCAGCCAUCAUUUAAAGAAAGCGUAAUAGCUCACUGGUCGAGUCGGCCUGCGCGGAAGAUGUAACGGGGCUAAACCAUGCACCGAAGCUGCGGCAGCGACACUGUGUGUUGUUGGGUAGGGGAGCGUUCUGUAAGCCUGUGAAGGUGGCCUGUGAGGGUUGCUGGAGGUAUCAGAAGUGCGAAUGCUGACAUAAGUAACGAUAAAGCGGGUGAAAAGCCCGCUCGCCGGAAGACCAAGGGUUCCUGUCCAACGUUAAUCGGGGCAGG